rnacentral:lncRNA from 1 species
GUUAAUUAGGUUUAUUUAUCCACUUUUACAAAGAUUUCCUUUUCAUUCGAAGAUUUUAUUUUAGAUUGAUCCAUUAAAAUGCUUCCUUAAUCAGUAACGGUGGUAGAAUUUAAAAACAAUAAAGAAAAACAAAAAACAAAAAGGAAAAUGACAAACACGAACAUUCGGCGAAGUCAAUCGAUAGUAGCAGUAGGGUAGGUACAAAAAUUCAAGAGACCCCACCAUAGUAAAUUAUGAAUCAACCGACACCAAGUAAUUCACAAAAAAAUAUAAGUGUGGGACCCAUUUUGUGAAAAAAGAGAAACAACUAUAUUUGUGUUAAAUUUUGUCCCCCACCCCCAUAGAAAUAUACAUAUGCACAAUUAAUUUUUUGUUGGACCAAUUCUUAAUACACAAUAUAACUAAUCGUUUCAAAAAAA